AUAAGUUAUGUAAGGGCGUAUGGGGGAUGCCUAGGCUCUCAGAGGCGAAGAAGGACGUGAUAAGCUGCGAAAAGUUGCGGGGAUUGGCACAUACGAAUUGAUCCGCAAAUAUCCGAAUGGGGCAACCCAGUACAUUGAAGAUGUACUACAUCGUAAAGAUGGGCAAACCCGCUGAACUGAAACAUCUAAGUAGGCGGAGGAGAAGAAAACAAAAGUGAUUCCCAAAGUAGUGGCGAGCGAAAUGGGAACAGCCCAAACCCAUAUUGUUACGGCAAUAUGGGGGUUGUAGGACCCAGAUAUAGGUUGUAAAGCUGGAUUAGAAGUGUUUGGAAAGACACACCAUAGAGAGUGAUAGUCUCGUAUAGGCACAGUUUUAUAAAUCUUAUGGGUAUCCUGAGUAGGUCGGGGCACGUGGAACCUUGACUGAAUCCACCGGGACCAUCCGGUAAGGCUAAAUACUCCUGAGAGACCGAUAGUGAACUAGUACCGUGAGGGAAAGGUGAAAAGAACCGUGAAUAACGGAGUGAAAUAGACCCUGAAACCAUACGCCUACAAGCGGUCGGAGCAGCUUAGGCUGUGACGGCGUGCCUUUUGCAUAAUGAGCCUACGAGUUACUGUUACCAGCGAGGAUAAGUAUUUCAGAUACGAAUCCGCAUCGAAAGAGAGUCUGAAUAGGGCGCAAAUAGUUGGUAGUAGUAGACGCGAAACCUGGUGAUCUACCCUUGGGCAGGUUGAAGCGCUGGUAACACAGCGUGGAGGACCGAACUGGUUGUCGUUGAAAAGACUUCGGAUGACCUGAGGGUAGGGGUGAAAGGCCAAUCAAACUGGGAAAUAGCUCGUACUCCCCGAAAUGCAUUUAGGUGCAGCGUUGAUGCGAGUUUAAUAGAGGUAGAGCUACUGAUUGGAUGCGGGGGUUUCAUCGCCUACCAAUUCCUGACAAACUCCGAAUGCUAUUAAAUGCUCAUCAGCAGUGAGGGUAUGGGUGCUAAGGUCCAUAUCCUAAAGGGAAAGAACCCGGACCAUCAGCUAAGGUCCCCAAAUAUAUGCUAAGUUGACCAAACGCGGUCUGACUGCACUGACAGCUAGGAUGUUGGCUUGGAAGCAGCCAUACAUUUAAAGAGUGCGUAACAGCUCACUAGUCGAGCGGUUGGGCAUGGAUAAUAAACGGGCAUAAGCAUAUUACCGAAGCUAUGGGGUAGAGAUACCGGUAGGGGAGCAUUCUAUAGGCGUUGAAGCUAAAGGCGUGAGCCAUAGUGGAGCCUGAUAGAAAAGAAAAUGUAGGCAUAAGUAACGAUAAGGCAGGCGAGAAACCUGCCCGCCGAAAGAUCAAGGUUUCCUCAGCUAUGCUAAUCAGCUGAGGGUUAGUCGGGGACUAACGCGAACCCGAGUAGGGGUAGUGGAUGUACAACGGGUUAAUAUUCCCGUACCAUUAAUCUGAUAAAAGUGACGGAAUGAGAUAACUACCGCGUACUGACGGAAUAGUACGUUUAAGGAGUUGUUAUGACUUCGAAAGUACGCUGAGGCUUCGGCCGAGGUGAGUGUGGUGACAACGUUUCCAAGAAAAGCGAAGACUAAUGCCCGUACCGUAAACCGACACAGGUGAUUGGGAUGAGAAUUCUAAGGCGCUCGAGAGAUUCAUGGCUAAGGAACUAGGCAAAAUAGACCUGUAACUUCGGGAGAAAGGUCGCCUAUCGUAAGAUAGGCCGCAGUGAAAAGGUCCAAGCGACUGUUUAUCAAAAACACAGGACUCUGCAAAAUCGAAAGAUGAGGUAUAGGGUCUGACACCUGCCCGGUGCUGGAAGGUUAAGAGGAGAGCUUAGCGUAAGCGAAGGUUUGAAUUGAAGCCCCAGUAAACGGCGGCCGUAACUAUAACGGUCCUAAGGUAGCGAAAUUCCUUGUCGGGU
rnacentral:rRNA from 1 species